rnacentral:rRNA from 1 species
AGCUUGCUCCCGGAUGUUAGCGGCGGACGGGUGAGUAACACGUGGGUAACCUGCCUGUAAGACUGGGAUAACUCCGGGAAACCGGAGCUAAUACCGGAUAGUUCCUUGAACCGCAUGGUUCAAGGAUGAAAGACGGUUUCGGCUGUCACUUACAGAUGGACCCGCGGCGCAUUAGCUAGUUGGUGGGGUAAUGGCUCACCAAGGCGACGAUGCGUAGCCGACCUGAGAGGGUGAUCGGCCACACUGGGACUGAGACACGGCCCAGACUCCUACGGGAGGCAGCAGUAGGGAAUCUUCCGCAAUGGACGAAAGUCUGACGGAGCAACGCCGCGUGAGUGAUGAAGGUUUUCGGAUCGUAAAGCUCUGUUGUUAGGGAAAAACAAGUGCGAGAGUAACUGCUCGCACCUUGACGGUACCUAACCAGAAAGCCACGGCUAACUACGUGCCAGCAGCCGCGGUAAUACGUAGGUGGCAAGCGUUGUCCGGAAUUAUUGGGCGUAAAGGGCUCGCAGGCGGUUUCUUAAGUCUGAUGUGAAAGCCCCCGGCUCAACCGGGGAGGGUCAUUGGAAACUGGGAAACUUGAGUGCAGAAGAGGAGAGUGGAAUUCCACGUGUAGCGGUGAAAUGCGUAGAGAUGUGGAGGAACACCAGUGGCGAAGGCGACUCUCUGGUCUGUAACUGACGCUGAGGAGCGAAAGCGUGGGGAGCGAACAGGAUUAGAUACCCUGGUAGUCCACGCCGU